rnacentral:rRNA from 1 species
ACUCCUACGGGAGGCAGCAGUGGGGAAUAUUGGACAAUGGGCGCAAGCCUGAUCCAGCCAUGCCGCGUGAGUGAUGAAGGCCCUAGGGUUGUAAAGCUCUUUCACCGGUGAAGAUAAUGACGGUAACCGGAGAAGAAGCCCCGGCUAACUUCGUGCCAGCAGCCGCGGUAAUACGAAGGGGGCUAGCGUUGUUCGGAUUUACUGGGCGUAAAGCGCACGUAGGCGGACUAUUAAGUCAGGGGUGAAAUCCCGGGGCUCAACCCCGGAACUGCCUUUGAUACUGGUAGUCUUGAGUUCGAGAGAGGUGAGUGGAAUUCCGAGUGGAGAGGUGAAAUUCGUAGAUAUUCGGAGGAACACCAGUGGCGAAGGCGGCUCACUGGCUCGAUACUGACGCUGAGGUGCGAAAGCGUGGGGAGCAAACAGGAUUAGAAACCCCGGUAGUCCC